rnacentral:rRNA from 1 species
CCUACGGGCGGCUGCAGUGGGGAAUAUUGGACAAUGGGGGCAACCCUGAUCCAGCCAUGCCGCGUGUGUGAAGAAGGCCCUCGGGUUGUAAAGCACUUUCAGUGAGGAAGAACGCCUGGUGGUUAAUACCCAUCAGGAAAGACAUCACUCACAGAAGAAGCACCGGCUAACUCCGUGCCAGCAGCCGCGGUAAUACGGAGGGUGCGAGCGUUAAUCGGAAUUACUGGGCGUAAAGCGCGCGUAGGUGGCUUGAUAAGCCGGUUGUGAAAGCCCCGGGCUCAACCUGGGAACGGCAUCCGGAACUGUCAAGCUAGAGUGCAGGAGAGGAAGGUAGAAUUCCCGGUGUAGGGGUGAAAUGCGUAGAGAUCGGGAGGAAUACCAGUGGCGAAGGCGGCCUUCUGGACUGACACUGACACUGAGGUGCGAAAGCGUGGGUAGCAAACAGGAUUAGAUACCCUGGUAGUC